rnacentral:rRNA from 1 species
UACGUAGGGGGCAAGCGUUAUCCGGAUUUACUGGGUGUAAAGGGAGCGUAGACGGCCAUGCAAGUCUGAAGUGAAAUGCCAGUGCUCAACACUGGAACUGCUUUGGAAACUGUGAGGCUGGAGUGCAGGAGAGGUAAGUGGAAUUCCUAGUGUAGCGGUGAAAUGCGUAGAUAUUAGGAGGAACACCAGUGGCGAAGGCGGCUUACUGGACUGUAACUGACGUUGAGGCUCGAAAGCGUGGGGAGCAAACAGG